ensembl:antisense Gm42848 predicted gene 42848
GAGGCAAGCCAGUAAGGAACAUCCCUCCAUGGCCUCUGCAUCAGCUCCUGCUCCCUGACCUACUUGAGUUCCAGUCCUGAAUUCCUUUGAUGAUGAAGACAGUGUGGAAAUCCAUCCCUCACCUUGGAACCAAGAAGGGAAGGUCCUCAGCCUCCAAGGCUUAGGUUUGCAUUCCACCCAGAGUGAGAGGAAAACAGCCAACAGCCAUCUACUGGAUAAACUGAACUGUGAAACAGAGUGAGCUCCCAGUCUGCUGACUUGAAGAGGUUCUGAGACUUCAGGGCUGCCCACAGGAAAAGAUCAUAAGAGUCUCUUCUUAAAUCUGUUCUGUAUAAAUAUACAUUCUAUGUGUCUACAAAGAAACUCUGGCCUCACUAACUGUGCCUGAGGCCACCUUGUGCUGAAAGGUUCUGAGGAGGCUCUGGAUACUCUGCCAAAUUCAUAGGGUGCUACAAGGACCCACCCAGGACCCACUAUGUAGAGCCAAAGGCGAAAACACCAGUAAGGCACCCAGAAGAUGGAUGGUCAUAGCCUCCACAUCAUUUCCAGUCCAUCAUGAGGCCAUCCCUAGGGUAUGAAUCCCCAUCCCACAGAGCCACUGGGCGGUCCUCUGUCCAAUAAGAGAAAGGUUUGGCAUCGCAGAAGGGAUCCACACAACCUGAGGAGCCUAGCUAACCGGGACUGACACAUGAGCUGCCUGAAGGGAACCUCGGAGCUUUUAUGAACUGAGAGCAAGCACUGAGCCAUGUGGUACACCCACGGUAGGAAGUUUACAGUUCCACUGAGCUUGGCAUUCAAGAGCUGCCAACCACUCUGAGGCCCAGGCAGAGGAGACAAAGGUAAGCCUGAGCCACUGUGGGCACAGGUAUGACACAGGAGGAUGUGUGGCCAGCUCUGGUGACUCAAAGGGGGCUGAGCAUGUGACAUCAAUCCCUGCCUCCCAGCCCUCAUGAGUCGGGGUGGGCUGAGCAUGUGACUUCAGCCCUCACCUUAUUUUCCGCAGCAACGUGUGGAAGGGCCGGAACAGCUCAGACAUGUCCUCCACCUUCCGGUCCAAGUUCAGGGGUCCAUCUGCAUAGACCACAAGGCCACUGUAAUCAAGACACACAAGCCGGUGUGGUUAGGCUCUGUAGGCCUCUGAAUGAGCCCUGUGAUUUCAGCUUCAGCAUGCACAAGAAGACUGACAACCAGCUGGGACCCGGGGCACCCACACUUAGCAAAGUCAUGGCUUCACCCUUCACCUCCUAUGAGUAAAGUUUCAACAAGUCAAGGAAAAGGUGAUUUACAAUUACUAUCCAGACCCUACCAUCAAGUUUAUUAGCUCUGUUCACACCAGGGAUCUAACAACCAUGGAGUGUUAUCUGUUCACUUCAGUGCUGCAGAGAGAUGAGAUGAACAUUCAUUACUAACGUCUACCUCACUGAAACUGAGACUAGAUCUGUAGAGGCUCAUGAGAAGCAAGCCUAAAAUUGUUGGUUCAAAACCCAAGCAUGAGCUAGAGACCCGUGUGGCUCUUAUCACACUUCAGGGCAGGAAACAGCCUCUUGUCUACCCACAGGCAGGACUGACCCUUCCCUGGGUGCCCCCUCCAUGCACAGGCUGGAGCUUUCCUCAUUGUCCCAGCCUAGCAUUUAGCAUCUGGCACCCAGCUCAAUACCCGCUGAAGGCCAGCUCCCUCAGGUGCCACCUCUGGGCAGCCCUGAUUCUAUCAGCUUAUGCCCUUGGCAACUACCUUCACUUGCCGCCUUCUGGAAGCUCCAUGGCCUACUGCCCAGCUCUGAGAGCAACUGUGUCAGCCAAGCCUCAGCUCAUCUCUCUCUCUCAGGAGCCCACAAAACAUUCAUUACUUCUGCUCCUUCAUCUGAGCACAGACUAGGGCUACUGGAAUUUCUGCUUGGAGAGCCCUACUUGUUUCCACCACUGUGACUUGAUCUCCUUGCCAACAGAAUCCCAGUUAUUGCCACUCCACAGCAUCCCUGUCUGUAACAGUCUUCUUUAACAAACCCAGUUUGGUUAAAAAGU